AGCAGCCGCGGUAAUUCCAGCUCCAAUAGCGUAUAUUAAAGUUGUUGCAGUUAAAAAGCUCGUAGUUGAAUUUCGGGGUCAGUAGGUUGGUCAUGCCACUGGUAUGUACUGGCCUCACUGAUUCCUCCUUCCUGAUGAGCCGUAAUGCCAUUAAUUUGGUGUUGCGAGGAAUCUGGACUGUUACUUUGAAAAAAUUAGAGUGUUUAAAGCAGGCUAACGCUUGAAUACAUUAGCAUGGAAUAAUGAAAUAGGACGUUCGAUCUUAUUUUGUUGGUUUCUAAGAUUGACGUAAUGAUUAAUAGGGAUAGUUGGGGGCAUUAGUAUUCAAUUGUCAGAGGUGAAAUUCUUGGAUUUAUUGAAGACUAACUACUGCGAAAGCAUUUGCCAAGGAUGUUUUCAUUAAUCAAGAACGAAAGUUAGGGGAUCGAAGACGAUCAGAUACCGUCGUAGUCUUAACCAUAAACUAUGCCGAUUAGGGAUCGGAUGAUGUUAAUUUUUAAUGACUCAUUC
rnacentral:rRNA from 1 species